rnacentral:rRNA from 1 species
UACGGAGGGUGCGAGCGUUGUCCGGAAUCACUGGGCGUAAAGGGCGCGUAGGCGGCGCGAGCAGUCGGCGGUGAAAGCCCGGAGCUCAACUCCGGGUCGGCCGUCGAUACUCUCGUGCUUGAGCACUGUAGAGGCAGGUGGAAUUCCGGGUGUAGCGGUGGAAUGCGUAGAGAUCCGGAAGAACACCGGUGGCGAAGGCGGAUCUCUGGGCCUUACCUGACGCUCAGGUGCGAAAGCUAGGGGAGCGAACAGG